rnacentral:rRNA from 1 species
CCUACGGGAGGCAGCAGUGGGGAAUCUUGGACAAUGGGCGCAACCCUGAUCCAGCCAUGCCGCGUGUGUGAUGAAGGCCUUAKGGUCGUAAAGCUCUUUCKCCWGWGAUGAUAAUGACAGUAUCUGGUAAAGAAACCCCGGCUAACUCCGUGCCAGCAGCCGCGGUAAUACGGAGGGGGUUAGCGUUGUUCGGAAUUACUGGGCGUAAAGCGCACGUAGGCGGAUUAGWCAGUCAGGAGGUGAAAUCCCGAGGGYUCAMCCCUGGAACKGCCUCYGAUACUSCYAGUCUWGAGUUCGAGAGAGGUGAGUGGAAUUCCGAGUGUAGAGGUGAAAUUCGUAGAUAUUCGGAGGAACACCAGUGGCGAAGGCGGCUCACUGGCUCGAUACUGACGCUGAGGUGCGAAAGUGUGGGGAGCCAAMCAGGAUUAGAUACCCUGGUAGUCCACACCGUAAACGAUGAAUGCCAGUCGUCGGGUAGUAUACUAUUCGGUGACACACCUAACGGAUUAAGC